rnacentral:rRNA from 1 species
GACGAACGCUGGCGGCGUGCUUAACACAUGCAAGUCGAACGGAAAGGCCCUGCUUUUGUGGGGUGCUCGAGUGGCGAACGGGUGAGUAACACGUGAGUAACCUGCCCUUGACUUUGGGAUAACUUCAGGGAACUGGGGCUAAUACCGGAUAGGAGCUCCUGCUGCAUGGUGGGGGUUGGAAAGUUUCGGCGGUUGGGGAUGGACUCGCGGCUUAUCAGCUUGUUGGUGGGGUAGUGGCUUACCAAGGCUUUGACGGGUAGCCGGCCUGAGAGGGUGACCGGCCACAUUGGGACUGAGAUGCGGCCCAGACUCCUACGGGAGGCAGCAGUGGGGAAUAUUGCACAAUGGGCGGAAGCCUGAUGCAGCAACGCCGCGUGCGGGAUGACGGCCUUCGGGUUGUAAACCGCUUUCGCCUGUGACGAAGCGUGAGUGACGGUAAUGGGUAAAGAAGCACCGGCUAACUACGUG